rnacentral:rRNA from 1 species
AUGAGUCGACCCGAUGGGUUCAACAUCCCCGACGGCAAGUUGUACCUUGGAGAUGCUGUCUAUGCAUGUCGGCCGGGUAUUCUUCCACCCUUCAGGAAAACAAGGUACCAUCUCAAUGAGUUCUCUGGUAGGAACUUUCCUAGGAUUGCACAGGAGCUGUUUAAUCUCAGACACUCCAGCCUUAGAACUGUUGAGAGGGCAUUUGGAGCUCUAAAGAAUAGGUUUAAGAUCCUGGAUCAGAAGCCAUUCCACCCACACUCCACUCAAGUUAAGCUAGUUCUUGCUUGUUGCAUUCUGCAUAAUUGGAUCCUUCAGUGGGGCUUUGAUGAACACGUGUCUGAGGAGGAAGAGGUCGAGCUUGACGAUGUUGUUAGCUCUGGCCAUGGUGUGGAGGCAUUUGACAAUGACGCUUGGAAGAACAAAAGGUUGGAGUGGGCAGAGGCAAUGUGGCUUAACAGAGGUCAGUGCAGAAUUUGA